CUUCAGACUAGGUUUUUUGCCUUCUUUUGGAUCAACAGCAAAAACAUAUGUGAGGAAGGCUGAACUUGAUGGACACAAGUCUCUUUUUCAGCUAUGUAAUUAUAUAACUAUGAAUUCAUAAAUAUAACAUAGGUCAAAUUGAACAUUGCCACAUAUAUCCAUUUUUUCUCUGAAAACUAUCUAAAGGGUUAAUCCACUUCAAAUGUCUUUUACCAAGUUUUUCUUUUUCCGUUGAAUAAUAUUUGAGAAAAUUUAUGCGUAAUAAGAUACAUAUAUAUGUUCUUUGAACCAAUAAUUAAUGGUAAAAGGAAACACAAUUCCAACUAAAUUAUAACAC